UUUUGAUUUAGCUGUCAUUUUCCAUUUGAGUGGUAAAAAUAAAACAAUUACAAAAAUCUGUUAUAAUUAAGUUUAAUCCAAGAUUAUGAUUUAAUGAAGCUUAAUUAGUGAGGAAAAGAGAACCUUUUAGAAGUUGGGGUACGCUAAUAAGGUAUUUAAUCUAGAGCUCUUUUUACCAGUUUCAAUCUCUUUCUCUAUUCAUAACACAAACUCAAUAAGUGAGAAACAUAAACAGUGUUGAAUAAACAGCAAGCUAUUGUUCCUCUAAAUUACGGCAGCAGGAGUUUCUCAUAUUAUUGAUUGUCUCUCUGGCAGGAAUGCUAAUCUUUUACAGAUCCAGAGCCCACAGCUUCCAGUGACGCAGUUUGAAGAUACACAAAUAAAUCCAUACUAAACCCAAGGAAAUCAAUGGCACAGAGGUAUCUCCUGGUUGGCAAACAGCAAGGACAUUCUAAUAUUUGUUGCCAACAAUUAGUCACCUGACCCCUUUUAUGGGUGGCUACCUGGUGACUGAUGUAAUGGCAGGAGUGCAUUACUGUUAUUGACCAUGUGUUAAGGAGCCACAGGACACAGAACCUGUACAGAACAGAGUAGGAUAACUAAGUAAGAGCGAUGAAGUGCUGGGCACGAUGACAGUGACAAGGGUAACGUUGUCACAUAGUUAUAUCUGAGGAGACAGUAACGAGGGUGUUGAUUUGAGGAGUCGUUGUUUAAUGAUGCCAUCUGUGUGCAUCACAUCUCUCAUCCACUCUCCUGUAAAACAUUUUCUCAUACUUUGGAGCAAGUCUGUCUGGCACAAUGAUCAUUUUUUCACUAAUGCCAGAGGGAAAGAAUUUUCUGCGUGCCGUGUGGAAUUACCUAUGUUGCCCUUCCUCUUCUGCUUUCCCUUGUAUUCUCGUGCUACACAACCCUGCUGCUGUUUACCAAAGGGAGAGAUAGCUUUGACAAAGACAACCAGGAUGAUGAAUGGAAUUUAAUUUAUGCAACAUUCAUGUAGGCAUGAAAGUGUGUGGUACCACCGUCCAACACAAAAGACUAAUGUGCCUGGAGAACAACAGCAACAGAGUGGCCGUAUAACAACAACAAGGACAAUAACAGUACCAUUUACAGAUUCCACAAGACCACCAAAAGCACUGCUUAACCUUUCAACUGGAAUGGCCACUAUACUCGUAGGGGGAAGUGAAUGCAUAUGCUAUGAAUUAAUUUGUCUGCAAGUCUGGAAAAUAUUACUGAAUGUGGUGAACAUUGAUCAGUUUCAACAACAACAACAAGGAGCCCAAGAUCAGCAGUGAAUGAGAAAAAAUCUCUUAGAGGGAGAUUUGAUUUCAGCACCUCUUGGCGACCAAUAAGUUGCUACCAACGGAAUAAACCAUUCGGCACGUAGUAGGACUUCA
rnacentral:lncRNA from 12 species